AAGCAGGGGAUCGUAAGACCUUGCGCUUUUGGAGCGGCCGAUGCCUGAUUAGCUAGUUGGUGGGGUAAAGGCCUACCAAGGCGACGAUCAGUAGUUGGUCUGAGAGGACGACCAGCCACACUGGGACUGAGACACGGCCCAGACUCCUACGGGAGGCAGCAGUGGGGAAUUUUGGACAAUGGGCGAAAGCCUGAUCCAGCAAUGCCGCGUGAGUGAAGAAGGCCUUCGGGUUGUAAAGCUCUUUCAGUCGAGAAGAAAAGAUUGUGAUGAAUAAUCACAAUUCAUGACGGUAUCGACAGAAGAAGCACCGGCUAACUACGUGCCAGCAGCCGCGGUAAUACGUAGGGUGCAAGCGUUAAUCGGAAUUACUGGGCGUAAAGGGUGCGCAGGCGGCUCUGUAAGUCAGAUGUGAAAUCCCCGGGCUUAACCUGGGAAUUGCGUUUGAAACUACAAAGCUAGAGU
rnacentral:rRNA from 1 species